AAGUCGUAACAAGGUUUCCGUAGGUGAACCUGCGGAAGGAUCAUUAACAAAUAACGCGAAUUCCGCUCGCUCUGGCGAAGGGUCAACUUCCUCCGCUUGAGCGCGCAGAAAAAGCUGUGUCUCUUAAGAUUCAUUUCUUUCGAGAUGCGUAACAAACAAGUAACCUGGGGUACUUUAAGGUGGAGUGCUUUACUGUGCUUUACCUUGAAGCCCUUCUAAUAAUCCCAUUUUUUUACCAUUUUACCCUUGAUAAACUAUAAGACUGAUAUGACAUGAUAAAUGUCAAAUACUAAAAUUAUAAAACAACUCUUAACAAUGGAUAUCUAGGCUCUG
rnacentral:misc_RNA from 1 species